GAAAGGGCAAACCGGGUGAAAGCCCGGGACGCAAAGCCAGGGGCUAAAGCGGGAGACCGCUAUGCCAGUCCGGCCGCCGC
rnacentral:ncRNA from 1 species